UACAGAGACUGCAAGCGUUUAGUUCGGAUUCACUGGGCGUAAAGGGUGCGUAGGCGGUUUGGUAAGUCUUAUGUGAAAUCUACAGGCUCAACUUGUAGUCUGCAUGAGAAACUGCCGGGCUUGAGUGUGGGAGAGGUGAGUGGAAUUCCUGGUGUAGCGGUGAAAUGCGUAGAUAUCAGGAGGAACACCUGUGGCGAAAGCGGCUCACUGGACCAUAACUGACGCUGAUGCACGAAAAGCUAGGGGAGCAAACAGG
rnacentral:rRNA from 1 species